ACACUCUGGCUUCUCUUCAUAACGUACAAGUCUUUCGCCUUUUACUAAAGACUUCCGUGGAGAGCAGCAGCGUUAAAGAGUUGCACCUAUUUUUGGCAGGGUCUGCCGUCUGGCUG
ensembl:snRNA U5 U5 spliceosomal RNA